GCCCAAUGUUCUGCCGUUUCACACAGCUUUGCUUUAGUGUGUUGGUCUGAAUUGGGGAAAAUGCAUCUGAGGGAUCCCGGAGCCCAAUCCAAACAUCUGUCUGUUUCACCUCUGCGUCUCUUGAAAUGUGUUGGAAUGUGGAAUCUGAUCAAACUUGCUGCAAGUGUGGAAGAUACAGAAAGUUCAUACAUAAAAACUUGCCCCAGAGCAAAGGCCAGACUCUCCUCUUUCACUCGAGCAGCUGUUUCACAACAGCACAUUGCAUAGUGCACAAGAACUUGCAGUAAAACUAGCACAAAACCAUCCCACAGUCAUCUGAAUUCAGAAAGUGGCUUCAGAAUUAUACAAUGUCUUUAGGGAGGUCUUAAGAGUUUCCAAAUAUAAUUUUUUGAUUGUAUUCAAGAUCCCUUUCUCUGAUCUCCGAACACCUAAAUCACACCCAUAGAAUGUGUGAAGUAACAAAAGACUUAUGAGAAUACUUUUAUUAUGUAUUGAAAUGAUGAAUGAUGAUAUUCAUUUUGCAUAUUUACUAAUUAGAACAACAUACCAUUUGUGGUUAAAUAUUUGAGAUUCUUUGAAACAUACCUAAUGCAAUAUGUAGAACAGUAUUUUUGAAUAGUUUAUCUGCAGCUUCAGUGUUUUGAGUGGUUCACCUUCAAAAAGCCAAGGGUGUAAGGUGGUUUAAAUGGUAUUCAGGGCACUGAAUACCAGUUCCGAAUGGAAGGUGUUCUGAAUGGGUUGCAGGGUGUUGCUAGGGUGUGAAGUGGUUUGUAUGGUGUUCUGAAUAGUGUGUAGGGUGUGAGGUGGUUGGUAUGGUGUUCUGAAUAGUGUGUAGGGUGUGAGGUGGUUGGUAUGGUGUUCUGAAUAGUGUGUAGGGUGUGAGGUGGUUGGUAUGGUGUUCUGAAUAGUGUGUAGGGUGUGAGGUGUUUGGUGUGGUUUUCAGAAUGGUUUGUGGGGAGUUGCUAGGGUUUGAAAUGGUUGGUGUAGGUUCUGAAUAGUGUGUAGGGUGAGAGGUGGUUGGUAUGGUGUUCUGAAUAGUGUGUAGGGUGUGAGGUGUUUGGUGUGGUGUUCAGAAUGGUUUGUAAGAUGUUGUUAGGCUGUGAGUUGGUUGGUAAGGUGUUCUGAAUAGUGUGUAGGGUGUGAGGUGGUUGUUGUGGUGUUCUGAAUAGUGUGUAGGGUGUGAGGUGGUUGGUAUGGUGUUCUGAAUAGUGUGUAGGGUGUGAGGUGGUUGGUAUGGUGUUCUGAAUAGUGUGUAGGGUGUGAGGUGUUUGGUGUGGUUUUCAGAAUGGUUUGUGGGGAGUUGCUAGGGUUUGAAAUGGUUGGUGUAGGUUCUGAAUAGUGUGUAGGGUGAGAGGUGGUUGGUAUGGUGUUCUGAAUAGUGUGUAGGGUGUGAGGUGUUUGGUGUGGUGUUCAGAAUGGUUUGUAAGAUGUUGUUAGGCUGUGAGUUGGUUGGUAAGGUGUUCUGAAUAGUGUGUAGGGUGUGAGGUGGUUGUUGUGGUGUUCAGAAUGGUUUGUGUGGUGUUGCUAGGGUUUGAGGUGGUUGUUAAGGUUCUCUUAAUAAUUUGUAGGGUGUUGCUAGGGUGCUCUGAACAGUAUGUAAAAUGUUGA